GGCUUGUACCGAGACACAGUUAGAUUAUUCUAACUAUUUUUUACCCAGAACACAUGGAAACAGUGGUAAGGCUCAUCAGUGACAGACAAGGACAGAAUCAAAACAUUUAUUACUAAGUAUGCUAGUGACCAUGCCCUGCCUUUACCAGGCCGACUGCCAAAUUAAAAAUCUGAGAAAUUGCUUCUACUUCCAUCGGAUAUGACAACUGCUGACAUUUAUGCUAAGUAUGAGAUUCUAGAUGCAGAAACUUCAGAAAAAUACACAUAAGGAUAUUUCAAGGAACUUGGCAUGAGUUGCUUCCAUUUACAAUCAUGAAACCAUGUACUGACCUAUGUCAGCUUUGUCAGCAUUUCUCUCAUCAACUGUCUGUCUACAGUUUCUAAUAUGAAUGACGAGGAAAAGGAAGAAAUCCUUUCUACCUACAUGCAGCAUGUUUCCCAAACUAAGCAGAAAAGGGACUACUACAGACACCAGUGUACCAUCAGCAAGGAAGCAUUAAUUUCCUUACCAGAAGAAUGUAAACAAACUGGAAAUGCUCCAUGCUCAGUUGAUAUGGAUAUGGAAAUGCACUAUUCCUUGGACUAUGCACAACAAGUGCAUUUUCCUCAUCAUGCCCAAUAAGUGGGACCAAUAUUUUUCAAGACGCCCUGGAAAUGCAAUGUGUCUGGUGUAUGUUGCGAGGGUUCAGUACCAUGGAUAUGGAGAAAAACAGCAUCCAUUCAUUUUGACAACUGCAGUGGGCAAAACAAAAACAACUUUUUCUUAUGGUCUGCUCUCUGGAGAGUUCUUGUAGGACUCCAUGCUACUGUGGAAUAUUCCAUGAUGGUCGCAGGACACACUAAAUUUGAUCCUGACUGGCAUUUUGGAGUCUGGCAUUCAUCCACUUCAGAAACCAUGAAUGAUAUAGCAGACACAGUCCGUCAUUCAUCUUGCAGAGGCCAUAACACUCCUCAGCUCGUGCGAGAUCCACAAACACCUGUGCAGUGUAGGGAUUGGAAGUCGUACCUUGAACAGUUCUUCAAACCCUUGAAAAACAUUCGAGGCUAUCAUCAUUUCCGAGUAAGUGCUGAGACUUCUGGCAUUGUUGAAUGUACGGAGCUCUGUAAUUCUAUUCCUUUAUGUGUUAAUCUCCUGAAAGAUCAGAAUAUCCUUCCCUCCGUAAAUGAUCCUCUGCCUCAAGAAAUCCCAGCAGUGGCCAGCACCUGGUCUUGAGCCCAAAAGGGAAUGAUACCUCUAUGAGGAAAUCCAUGAACAAUGUAUAUCACUCUCUGCUAAAGACUCAUCAUGUCCAAAACCACUUGUACCAAAGAAAGAGGUGAAAGUUUAUUCACUUGAUCAUUCUACGUCACACUUGGGGAAAAGGAAAAGUCUUCUCCUUAGAUGUAAGGGAGAGUUAUUGUGUGUAAGAAAGAUUAGAAGUAAAUGUAUACAUGUAGUUCCUAUUGUAUUACUUCCCGUAAUGUGUUACAUUGAUGUACUUUUCUGUUCAUCGAAUUUCAUUGCUUUACAACAUUUGUUGGAAUUGAUACUUUAACUAAACUGUUUACAUAAGCUGUGUCCUAUGAGUAGUGUUACAUCUCAACGGUUAUUAAAAAAAUGUGUAAUAGUAUGAAAAUUGUUAACUGAUAUUUGCAUUUUCUCUGCGACAUUUUUAAAUUUCAAAAGAUACCAUUUUCACGCUGCCCCCCAUAAUUUUAUGUCUAUAAUUUUUAUACUUAAUACUGUUGAUAAUGUUAAGAAAGUACAGAUGCAUACUUCUAUAAUAUCAUAACAGUACAUUUUAUCCAUAAUGUGCAUGUUUGCAAUAUUCAGAGUUAUUGCCUGUUUUAAAAAUAGUGAUCUGCUAUUCAUCUUUUUGUGAAUAUGUUUACAGCUGUCAAAGAACCUCUGUCAUUCUAUAUUCUAUGUGAUUCCUGGUGUAUUUUGUCACAACUACAAAUAAUAAUUUUCUUGUUAUUUUGGAAUGUAAUUUCAAUUUGUAUAUUUAUCUUUAUAAUAAUUAUUGUGCAUUUCUCAUGUUUCUAGAGUUUAUUUUAUUGAAAAUAAAUGGUUGGAUUAUUUUUUU